rnacentral:misc_RNA from 1 species
GAUGAAGAACGUAGCGAAAUGCGAUACUUGGUGUGAAUUGCAGAAUCCCGUGAACCAUCGAGUCUUUGAACGCAAGUUGCGCCCGAAGCCAUUAGGCCGAGGGCACGCCUGCCUGGGCGUCACACGUCGUUGCCCCCCCAUCUACUCCUUCGGGAUUGCGGGGGGCGGAUGAUGGCCUCCCGUGCGCCUCGUCGCGCGGUUGGCAUAAAUGCCAAGUCCUCGGCGACGCACGCCACGACAAUCGGUGGUUGCGAAACCUCGGUUGCCCGUCGUGUGCGGUCGUCGCGCAUCGAGGGCUCGAAAAAAUUGUCGGGCUCCGGCUCGGCUUUCAACGCGACCCCUGGUCAGGCGGGGUUACCCGCUGAAUUUAAGCAUAUCAAUAAGCGGAGGA